UUGGCAGGUCGAGACGAUCGUCGCGAUCCCGCAAAACGGGACCGGGGAGGAAAGUCCGAACUCCACAGGGCAAUGUGCCACGUAACGCGUGGGCGCCUCUGGAUUCACUGGUUUCUUUAUGGGGAUCCCAAAAGGAAUUGGGGGAACCGGGGGUGACGGAAAGUGCCACAGAAAAUAUACCGCUCCCGAUUUUCGGAGUAAGGGUGAAAAGGUGCGGUAAGAGCGCACCGCUCCUCCGGUAACGGAGGAGGCAGGGCAAACCCCACAUGGAGCAAGACCAAAUAGGCCACACCCUCGGCUCAGGCCGAAAAGAAUGGCCCGUUCAGAUUUCCGCUGAGGCGGAAGGGUAUGGCGGGUAGGUCGCUUGACCCCGUCAGUGAUGGCGGGGCUAGAGGAAUGAUCGUCACUCUGAAUGUAUCCGGUGAUUCUGUCCGGAUGCGUCCAGAGAACAGAAUUCGGCUUAUCGGCCUGCCAAUUUA
rnacentral:RNase_P_RNA from 1 species